UCAAUUCUUACAACUACAAUCACUUACAACUACGCUUACGUAAUUGUAGAAUAGGCUUAAGAAGUAAGAGUAGGUUUAAGGAGCAAAGAAUAAGGAGCUUACGCUCGUCUACAAUACAGAGGAGUAGAAAUCGGGGUAGAGAUGGCAUUGUCAUCGUUCAAUAAGUUAUUUCAAUACUACCAUGUACAUUAUCACAAAGUAAUUCUAAUAACAGCUCAGAUGUAUUGAAUAUGUUUGAAUUCUUUACAGAAUAUUCAAGUAAGAAUGAAGAGGUGUUCUCUAAAGUAAAUUCUAAGGACUCAUCAAGUACACUUGCUCCAAGCAAUUUAUCGAUUUUGUCAGACAAUGCUUCUGCAAGUGUAUUGAAAGCUGCAGCCUCUAUAAUUGUUCCCAAAAAACAAACAUCACCACCAGAUAUUAAGAAGAGAAAACGUGAUCCUUUCAAAAAGUUCUUGCUGUAGUUCUUGCUAAAUAGGUUAUUAUUUGCCAUGAGAGAAUGGAUCAUCAAUUAAUUGCGACAAGUUUGUUCCUCAUUGCGUGUCAUCAGCAUUUGACAUUACAAUGGAAACAACGAAAACAAAGAGGACGUGGCCAUGGAAGAAGAAGAUGGUGGGUCCGUCCUGUAAAUCGAAAUAAAGAUGAACAAGGUUUCCUUUUAAAUCUUAUUAGAAAAAUGGGGACCCAAGAUCACGAGGAAUUCUAUCGUACUUUUCGAAUGUGGCCCGAGCAGUUUAAUUGGCUACUUGAUCAAGUGCAAGAUAAAUUGCAGAAACAAAGCCGGAGGACUCCGUUAGAUCCUAAGCUACGCUUACAAGUGACCCUUUUAUAUCUGGCACAAGGAGAUUCUAUCUUGAGCAAACACAAUGAGUUCCGCAUAGGAAGAUCAACAUAAAAUCAUUUCUGAGACUUGUAGCGAUUUGGGAAGCAUUGCAAACACAUUUUUCUCCCAAUGGAUCAUAAUUCAUGGAAUGAAGUAUCGAAUAGAUUUAUGGAGAAAUGGCAGUUUCCUAAUUGUCUUGGUGCCAUUGAUGGGAAACAUAUCCGCAUUAAAGCUCCUCCCAUGUCAGGGUCCAAGUUUUUUAAUUAUAAGAAAUUCUUCAGCAUUGUGUUGAUGGCUGCUUGCGAUGCAGAGUAUAAGUUUACAUGGGUGGAUAUUGGACAAUAUGGAUCAGUGAGUGAUGGUGGUGUUUGGAACAAUACGGAUUUUGUGCAGGAUUUAGAAGCAGGAGAAGUUAAUUUACCACCACCUUCUUCACUCCCUGGUAUAGAUGUUCCAUUUCCCUACGUCUUUGUUGCUGAUGAAGCAUUUCCAUUGAGGAAGUACUUGAUGAGACCGUUUCCUAAGAAAAAUGAAAGAAUGUCUGAUGAGGAACGCAUUUUCAACUAUCGGUUGUCAAGAGCCAGGAGAACAAUUGAGAACGCGUUUGCAAUUCUGACAAUAAAAUGGGAAAUUCUACUUUCAUGUCUAAGCUGUUCCCCAGAACAUGCUGAACAGAUUGUAAAAGCCAUAAUAUGUCUACAUAAUUUUUUGAUUACAUGUAGUCGUUCUGAAUAUUGCCCUCAGUUUAGGAAUACUGAGCACAAUGAUGAAAUUGAAACACGGAUUAGUCAAUCAUUGUUUUACAACUUAGGUAGAGUAGGUGCAAAUAGAAGUAGUCGCGUUGCAAACGGAAUGAGAAAUUACUUAAAGCAAUAUUUUGUUUCUGAAAUUGGUCAAGAGCAAGCACCUUGGCAAAAUGAAAGGGCACUUUAUGGUCACUUUAUAAAUGUGCCAGUUUAAUUAAAAACAAAUGAACAAGCUAAUAUAUUUAAAUUCGACGUUAUUUAUGCAGAUAUUAGACGUUAAUUAGCAGAUGUAUAUAGUUAUACUAUCGAAAGAUUAGUUAUUAAAAACUUAUUAUUUGGCUAAGGACAUAUAAAAAGACCACAGUACAAAGUUGUAGUUAUAUCCUAU